GACGAACGCUGGCGGCGUGCCUAAUACAUGCAAGUCGAGCGAAUUUACGAGAGCUUGCUCUCGUAAAUUAGCGGCGACGGGUGAGUAACACGUGGGCAACCUGCCUAUAAGACUGGGAUAACUUCGGGAAACCGGAGCUAAUACCGGAUAAUUCACAUCUACUCAUGUAGAUGUGCUGAAAGACGGUUUACACUGUCACUUAUAGAUGGGCCCGCGGCGCAUUAGCUAGUUGGUGAGGUAACGGCUCACCAAGGCCACGAUGCGUAGCCGACCUGAGAGGGUGAUCGGCCANACUGGGACUGAGACACGGCCCAGACUCCUACGGGAGGCAGCAGUAGGGAAUCUUCCGCAAUGGACGAAAGUCUGACGGAGCAACGCCGCGUGAGUGAU
rnacentral:rRNA from 1 species